GACAAGAAAUAACAAUACGGGGCUUAAUGUCUUGUAAUUGGAAUGAUGGGAAUUUAAACCUCUUCCAGAGUAUCAAUUGGAGGGCAAGUCUGGUGCCAGCAGCCGCGGUAAUUCCAGCUCCAACAGCGUAUAUUAAAAUUGUUGCAGUUAAAAAGCUCGUAGUUGAAUUUCUGCUGCAUUACAUAUCUCUUGUUUGAGUUUGUUUUUGUGGCUUAUUUCGGUCUGAUUUUUUUAUCUUUCCGGAUGAUUACUUUGAGAAAAUUAGAGUGCUCAAAGCAGGCUUUUGCCUUGAAUAGUUUAGCAUGGAAUAAUAAAGUAGGACUUUGGUUCUAUUUUGUUGGUUUUAGGUACCAAAGUAAUGGUUAAUAGGAACAGUUGGGGGCAUUCGUAUUUAACUGUCAGAGGUGAAAUUCUUAG
rnacentral:rRNA from 1 species